UACGUAGGGCGCAAGCGUUGUCCGGAAUUAUUGGGCGUAAAGAGCUCGUAGGUGGCGUGUCGCGUCUGCCGUGAAAGCCCAUGGCUUAACUGUGGGUCUGCGGUGGAUACGGGCAGGCUGGAGGCUGGUAGGGGCAAGCGGAAUUCCUGGUGUAGCGGUGAGAUGCGCAGAUAUCAGGAGGAACACCGGUGGCGAAGGCGGGUCUCUGGGCCGAUACUGACGCUGAGGAGCGAAAGCGUGGGGGAGCGAACAGG
rnacentral:rRNA from 1 species